CGGCCGCGGUAUUUUGACCGUGCAAAGGUAGCGCAAUCACUUGUCUUUUAAAUAGAGACCUGUAUGAAUGGCUAAACGAGGGCUUAACUGUCUCCCUUUUCAGGUCAGUGAAAUUGAUCUACCCGUGCAGAAGCGGGUAUAACAAUACAAGACGAGAAGACCCUUUGGAGCUUAAGGUACAAAACUCAACCACGUCAAGCAACUUAGUAAAAAGUAAAAACUUUGUGAAACAUGAGAUUUUACCUUCGGUUGGGGCGACCGCGGAGGAAAAAAAAGCCUCCAAGUGGACCGGGACAAACUCCUAAAACCAAGAGAAACAUCUCUAAGCCACAGAACAUCUGACCAAACAUGAUCCGGCCACCAGGACCGAUCAACGAACCAAGUUACCCUAGGGAUAACAGCGCAAUCCCCUCCCAGAGUCCAUAUCGACGAGGGGGUUUACGACCUCGAUGUUGGAUCAGGACAUCCUAAUGGUGCAGCCGCUAUUAAGGGUU
rnacentral:rRNA from 1 species